AGUGAACGCUGGCGGUAGGCCUAACACAUGCAAGUCGAACGGCAGCACAGUAAGAGCUUGCUCUUACGGGUGGCGAGUGGCGGACGGGUGAGGAAUACAUCGGAAUCUACUUUUUCGUGGGGGAUAACGUAGGGAAACUUACGCUAAUACCGCAUACGACCUACGGGUGAAAGCAGGGGAUCUUCGGACCUUGCGCGAUUGAAUGAGCCGAUGUCGGAUUAGCUAGUUGGCGGGGUAAAGGCCCACCAAGGCGACGGUCCGUAGCUGGUCUGAGAGGAUGAUCAGCCCCACUGGAACUGAGACACGGUCCAGACUCCUACGGGAGGCAGCAGUGGGGAAUAUUGGACACUGGGCGCAAGCCUGAUCCAGCCAUACCGCGUGGGUGAAGAAGGCCUUCGGGUUGUAAAGCCCUUUUGUUGGGAAAGACAAGCAGCAGGUUAAUACCCCGCUGUUCUGACGGUACCCAAAGAAUAAGCACCGGCUAACUUCGUG
rnacentral:rRNA from 1 species